CCUUAACAGUUACAUCAUGUAGCUGACAUUUGCCAAGAUAAGGAGAUUUACAUG
rnacentral:ncRNA from 1 species